rnacentral:snRNA from 1 species
GUGCUCGCUUCGGCAGCACAUAUACUAAAAAAUUGGAACGAUACAGAGAAGAUUAGCAUGGCCCCUGCACAAGGAUGACACGCAAAUUCGUGAAGCGUUCCAUAUUUUU